GUAACGCGUGAGGAACCUGCCUCGAAGAGGGGGACAACAGUUGGAAACGACUGCUAAUACCGCAUAAGCCCACGGCUCGGCAUCGAGCAGAGGGAAAAGGAGUGAUCCGCUUUGAGAUGGCCUCGCGUCCGAUUAGCUAGUUGGUGAGGUAACGGCCCACCAAGGCGACGAUCGGUAGCCGGACUGAGAGGUUGAACGGCCACAUUGGGACUGAGACACGGCCCAG
rnacentral:rRNA from 1 species